rnacentral:rRNA from 1 species
GGACUACAGGGGUUUCUAAUCCCGUUCACUCCCCUAGCUUUCGUGCCUCAGCGUCAGAAAAGGCCCAGUGUGCCGCUUUCGCUGCUGGCGUUCCUUCCGAUCUCUACACAUUUCACCGCUCCACCGGAAGUUCCACACACCCCUACCUCACUCAAGUCAACUAGUUUCACGCGCAGUUUUCUGGUUGAGCCAGAAGAUUUCACACGUGACUUAGAUGACCGCCUACGCACCCUUUAAGCCCAGUGAUUCCGAAUAACGUUCGCACAGUUCGUAUUACCGCGGCUGCUGGCAC